rnacentral:lncRNA from 1 species
CUGUGCAAUCUCAGCGCAGUCCCUGAGGGAGGCUGGAGCCCAGCCCUUGGGUAAAACCAAACCAGUGGUUUUAUCUUGAAUGGAGAGAACAGGUGGAAGUGCUGUCAGCCAGCGUGGGCAGCAGGAAUGGCAGGAAUGCUGCCCACAGGAGCCUGGGGACCUGUGGGAAGAGAAAAUGAAAGGAAUCUGGUUAUCCAAGACAUUUCCCCACUCGGUUUCCCUGAAGUCCUGUGCCCAGCAGUGACUGCAGCAGGCAAAGCAGCAAAAACCCAAUUACACCUAAAAUAUACACUGAAUCUGCUUAUCCAAGAAAUUUCCCCACUCGAAUUUCCUGAAGUCCUGGACCCAGACACCUGCAGAAACCCAAAAGGACAGAUGAGGGCUCCAAGGGCCAGAAACAGCAGGAGAGAACCCCUGCCUUCCCAUUUUCCAUGUUUUCCAUGUUUUUAUGGGCAGCAGCCAGCUGCAGAUGUUGGGGACAAGAGGAGGGACCUGGGGAAGGAGCAGAGCUGAUUCCAGAGCUGAUCCAAGGGGCUCUGCCCUGUCCCACCCUGCUCCCUGGCAGGGCAUCCCACGGACGUGGAGCCCUCCCAGGUCUGGCCAUGGAUGCACACCCAAAGCGGCUCCUUUGGCCCAGCAGGAGCGAGUUCAGGCCUCCUGCGCUGGAUUUCAACAGAGCUGCAGUCGUGCAGUUAGGAAAUGGUGAGCCCUGCAAUGAGGCACCUUUAAUUGAAUCCUGCCACUUGCUCAAUGACAGCAGCCCUUCGGGCAGCCCUGAGCAGCAGGGAAACCAGCCCUGCCCCAGCUCUGCAGGCUGCCAUUGGCUGCAAACCUGCCCGGCUCGAUGGGCUGCACUCGGAGGGGAUUUACAGCCCGUAAAUAGCAGGGCUGGAGCGCUCGGGAAUGGAUUUCCACCCUUGGAGCUCUGCAUGGAGCCUCUGCCCAGGAACCCAGCACGAGGAAAAGCUGGAGAAGACAUUGCCUGUGCUGCAGAUUCCACUGGAGCUUUCCAGAGCAUGGCUUGUGUGAGUAGGUGACUUGGGCAGCAGGAGGAGCAUCUCUGGGGCAGCUGGAAUAUCUUUGGGGCAGCUGGAACAUUUUUGGGCAGCAGGAGGAGCAUCUCUGGGGCAGCU